GGGGGUGUAGCUCAGUGGUAGAGCGCUCGCUUAGCAUGCGAGAGGGCCCGGGAUCGAUGCCCGGCACCUCCA
rfam:Schistosoma mansoni strain Puerto Rico chromosome 1, complete genome